CUGGAGAACAACGCGUGGCUGGAGGAACAAUUGAAAAAUGGAUAAGAUAAUAAAACAAAAAAAUGAUCAAAUUAUGAAGCUGCAGGCCCAGUUAUUGGAACAACACAAAAUAUUAGAUAACAAAGCUAAGGAUCGUAGGCCUAACACGUAAUGAUUCUAUUUAUUUGCUUUUAUUCAUUCGUGUUUUGUAGCUCAAAUUUUGAGUCUUCAAGCUCAGCUAGGGAAAAGAACAAAUUGGAACGGAACAGUUUCCAAACAGUGAAGGAGGUUUUUCAAAACUCAUCUCUAACUGAACGUGAGGAUGAGUUGGCAUUAGGUGAACACAGCCAGUUAUUCAGUCCACCACAUGACAGUGUGUUAAAUUUAAAUUCUGUUAGUGCUGCACUAAAAGAAUCGUUAGUAAUAAGCUCAUGCAGUGAAGGAACUGAACAAUUGUGGGAACGUAUUUGGGCCGAAAAUGGGUGUGGUACAGAAACCCAGAAAUGGCACAAGUUCAACAUGAAACAUG